CAUAUUUCAUGGAAAAUAGUUCUUAGCCAGUAUUUAUCAGAAAGUGCUGGGAGCAUUUUAAAAUGUUCACAGGUCUAGCUUAAUCCUUGACCUACUAAACCUACAUCUCUGAGGAUGGGGACUAUAUACGACUAUGUAUUGUGUAACAGCUUCUCAAAUGACUGAUAAACACUCCUGCAACAGAAUAAUCAUUUAAAUAGAGCAGGCAUUCCCUUAGCAUCUUAAUUGUAGUUCAGAUCUUAAUAAUGAGUACUCAUGAUCCCAAAGUUUGUUUUAUUAAAAUUUUUAUUGUACUCAAUACUGUUUGAAAUUUGGGGUUAGAAUGUGUAAGUUGACAUGUUGGCCAUGCUGCCUAUUAGACAAUUUGAUUUUUGAUUUUAAGUUGGUAAGAAUUGUUCUCAAUGUAAAAGAAAUAUUUGUUUCACUAAAUAGUAUGUUGAAAACUUUUUGCCAUGAAUGAAUAGUAAGUCUUUUGUUUGAUAAUGAGCACAAAACAAACUGCUUGAUAUCAUGGGAACAAGAUUUGAUAUUUUAGAUCACCUCCUUUAUUUAGUGUUGGAGAUACAAAGAUGCAUUGAUUUGGCCCCUUUCCUGGUUCAGAUAGAUUCACAUAUAAUCAAAUGUAUUGUGGUAAAUUUAUAGUAGUGGAGAUACAAAGUGCUCUGCGAACUUAGAAUUUUUCGUGGAGAAGUUUUGGGGACAGGAAACAGCAUUAACAAAGGUACUGUGUUUUGUUGUGGGUGACGGGAAUUUGUGAGAUGGAGUGGCAGAGUUGUGGAGGAGGGGCUGUCAUUUGUAAAGCAGUACAGAUUUUAAUCUUUACCAGUGCCUCCUAAUCUUUUGAGGAGGAUCAUAGAUUUUAGAAAAAUGCACCUUAAAUUCAAGUUCAGGGUUUUCAAACUCCCUGUGGUUCUGAGCUUAGGUUUGAGCCUUGGAAACAGCCACACAUAAGGAACUGUUGGAGGAAGGAGUCAUUAAGGAGAUUCAUACAGAAACUAUAGAAGCUUCAAGAUGGUAAUGAACACCAAAUGCAGCAGUAGAGAGGUGCUGCCGUGAAGUACGUGAUAUGUUUCCUUGUGAACAUGUGUGUUUCUCUAAGGAGCAGACUAUUGGGAGGAAAAGCUUAAGGACAGAUGAUGUCUCAAAUGAAAAGCUCCUAGGUGGCUGCUUCCUCUACUUUCAGCACCUGCAUUAUGUCAUUGAUUGGAAAUACUGAGAGAAAAAAAAACACAAGGAAGUAAAGGCUAAAGACAAUCUCCUAGGCUCCUUUACGAGUGGAAUUCCGGCUCUCAUCUGGGCUCACUAAGCGUGUGUGGCGCUCUGCGGAAGUGGCAGUGCUUCUGGGGAAACACCAGAUGACUACUGGUCCACGUGAGCCUCAGCUUCCAUCAAUGACCAGAGAAGAAACUGCAGAAAAGAAUUUGGGCAAAACCAAAACGAGCAUUUG